CCUCGGGGGUGUCCACGCUCGGCCUCCCACGCGGGCGCGCCUCCUCGGAAGGGGCCUGGCCGAGCGCGCACCUGCACACGUGCGCCGGAAGGCGGGAGGUCAUUCCGCGCGGCCCAGCUGGUUUGUUUUCAACAAUACGAUCAAAGCCACACGCCCACCGUUAUUUACGCCGUCAGCUAGCGCCGGCACUUGGAGGGAGGAAGGAAGCACCUAAGGCGCUGGGGGCGGAAACACUGAGGAGGAGGGCUGCGCCUCAGGCGAGAGCUGGCCGGCACCGACCGGGCCUGGAGCAGGGGCCGCAGCUCCCCGCCUGGGACCGCGCACAAAGGCCCGAAGUCCGGGCCGCACUCACCGAAGUCCAGGAACUGCUUCAUGGAGAGCGGGGACGGUGAGAAGCGCGCGUAGAAGUCCACCUGGCCCGGAACGCCGCGCUCGGGCGCCGGGCCGGAGCCCGAGUCCGAGCUGAAGGAGCGGCUGGGGCCGGCGGCGCGCAGCCCCGGGCCCGGGACGGCCAAGGCAGCUCCGCGAAGCAGCCGCGCCAGCCUCAUGCCGAGCCCCGCUAGAGAAGCCAGAGCCCGGGCGCCACGUUUCCCCGCGCCUCUGCCGAGUGGAUUGAAGGCAGAUACUUGAAGUUGUAAUCCAAGGUCAGGAAAACGGAAUCAAGAGGUCACAAGCCUUCUCUGAUGAUGGCUCAGAAAGCUGGAAGACACUCAACAUUGAAUCGUGGGGCUCCAUGCCAUGCUUGCUAGGAGAAACAGCCACCAUGAGUCCAUCUUUCAGAUCUCAAGUGAACAGCAUGGUAUCGGGGAACACUGUCAUCGUACCUAGAGCGUUUGAAGAAUCCACACUGGAGAAGAGGGAAAGAGAAAGAGAAACCAAUUAAUCUCACAAAGAAGCAAGUGCACUAAAUGGGAAUGUCUAAGCUUUCUGUUCAGCUAUGUCUACCUCUGGACUAUGGGGAAAAAGACAUGGUUUUCUUUUAAGAAAGAACUAAGAGGUUGAAAUGAAAGAACAGCCAGUGGGGAUCAACGGAAGAGAACAGCUGUAAAACUGGAAGAAAAGUCCAUUUUCAUCUUCUCUUUACAUUUUAUAACAAAAUGUAGGCUACCUCUUUACUAACAAUUUAAGACUAUGAAAACAGUGCUGCCAUAUUUUAAAAUAAUCACUAUAUGUAAAAGAUCUAAUUAUCAGAUUAGAAUAUCAUUUUAAGAAUAAUUUUUAAAAGGCAUAAACCAAAGAUUAUUUCAUGCCCCUCUCCCACUAAUAAAAUGCAAAUCAUGUCACAAGUAUUUUACUAAUUAUUAUUUGAAUAUGCCAGAGUUCCAGCAGGUCAAUUUAAUAAUUUUUUCUCCUCUGAGGCUCUAGUACACGUAUCACUGCUCUCAUUAGCUAGGAUGUAAUUUAUGUUGCCUGGAUUUGCUAUUGUGCUUCUAAUUAAGCUAUUUCAUUAAUAAAUCACAUAGUGACUGUUUCCUACAAUAAAAAUCAUAUGCUGCAUAGGACUUGAGAAGUGUAUCACUACACUGAAUUUCAGAGCACUCCCUAAUUUUUCUUCUUUAAAUUGUUAAUGUGUAUAUGUGUGUAUAUAUAUCAUUUAAUAUUCAAUCUGAUCCAAAGUAUAUUUUUACUGAAUAUAUCUGAAAAAAAUUGAGAUUAAAUUUUUAAUGAAAUAUAUUACUUUUCAUGAAAUGAAAACAUUUAAUGAAAUAUAUUUACUUUCAAAAAAGGUGUGUUUGACUAAAAUGCAGUUUUGAAGAAUGAGGAAUAGUUAUUAAUAGAAUGGUUGAUUAAUGUGUUUAUUAUGUGACAUCAACAAUAACAGGACAUUUACGCUGAAUGAUGUUAUAAAAAUGCCAUGGAGCAAGAUAAAAUUAUAUGCAUAGUUAUCACUAAAUCAGUAGGCAAAAUGGACCAAGAUGUUUUGUUCCAGGUCAUUUCUACAUGGAUUUAUUUAUUAUUCUGUGCAAAAAAAAAAAAAAAAAAGCCAAAGUACCUAUCUGUUACAAAAUAUGACUGCUGCCUACCCCAUUUAAACAAAGAGGGAAAUUAAAGGUGAUCUGUUAAGCUGAAAUGGCAAUGUUGUGAUUCACUGUGAUAGUGCCAUGGAAAGGAUUACAGGAGUAAUUCUGUCCUAUAAAAUUUUGUGUAAAAUUUUAUACACAAGAAUUUUACAGUCUUGUGUAUAAGAAUUAAACAACAGAACAUCUCAGAUUUAUGCCCACAUAAAUGGUGAAAGGAAUCACCAGCAAUUCCUAUUUCCAUAGAUUUACAAAUAAGAGAAACUUGAAUUUAAAAUCAAUGAGACCCAAGGUUGAAUAAAAUGUCUGGAUACAUGAAAUAUGGUCAAACUCCAUCACAAUAUAUUACAAUAAAAACUUUUCAGGGCAUUUUUUUGUACUAGAAUUUGGUAGAUAGAAGGUAACUUUGGUAGAGGAUCAUCUUCUGAAGUUGGCCAUAAAGCCCGUCAUGCUGAUAACCAUAGUUUGUUGUAAUGGUCUUUGACCUGUAGGAGAUACGCAGGAAAUGGAAGCUGCAUGCUUAGCUAGCAGAAAACGAUUCCUGAGCAACAGUAAAAAGCAUUCCAAGCCUUCCCCAUCACUUUAUAGCAAAGAAAACGAAAGGAUGACAGUGAGGAAGCCUCAACCAAGAGAAACACAUUUCCAACAUGCAACAGGUUAAUUAGGCAGUCGACACAGCUUCUAUCUGUGGGAAAUUCCAAAAUGAACAAGAAAUCUGGAGCAAUUUCUUAUGCAUCUUUGAAUUCCCUAGUAGGAUGCUACAUACCGAAUUAAUAACACGUGGCAAACUGGGCUACUAUGGAGGGCUAAAAGCCUCGUGUGUGUGUGUACAAAGAUUGCAAUUUUCUUCAUUGCUGUGGGUAAUGUUUAACAACAACAUAAAAUAACUCACCUGCAACGAAAAAUUCUUUGUGCAUU